rnacentral:rRNA from 1 species
CCUACGGGAGGCAGCAGUGGGGAAUAUUGGACAAUGGGGGAAACCCUGAUCCAGCGACGCCGCGUGAGUGAAGAAGUAUUUCGGUAUGUAAAGAUCUAUCAGCAGGGAAGAAAGAAAUGACGGUACCUGACUAAGAAGCCCCGGCGAACUACGUGCCAGCAGCCGCGGUAAUACGUAGGGGGCAAGCGUUAUCCGGAUUUACUGGGUGUAAAGGGAGCGUAGACGGCGAUGCAAGUCUGAAGUGAAAGGCGGGGGCCCAACCCCCGGACUGCUUUGGAAACUGUAUGGCUGGAGUGCAGGGGAGGUAAGUGGAAUUCCUAGUGUAGCGGUGAAAUGCGUAGAUAUUAGGAGGACCACCAGUGGCGAAGGCGGCUUACUGGACUGUAACUGACGUUGAGGCUCGAAAGCGUGGGGAGCAAACAGGAUUAGAUACCCGGGUAGUC